rnacentral:rRNA from 1 species
GUAAGGAAUAUUGGACAAUGGGCGAAAGCCUGAUCCAGCCAUGCCGCGUGAGUGACGAAGGCCUUAGGGUUGUAAAGCUCUUUUGUCCGGGAAGAUAAUGACUGUACCGGAAGAAUAAGCCCCGGCUAACUUCGUGCCAGCAGCCGCGGUAAUACGAAGGGGGCUAGCGUUGUUCGGAAUCACUGGGCGUAAAGCGCACGUAGGCGGACCAUUAAGUCAGGGGUGAAAGCCUGGAGCUCAACUCCAGAACGGCCUUUGAUACUGAUGGUCUCGAGUAUGGAAGAGGUUGGUGGAACUGCGAGUGUAGAGGUGAAAUUCGUAGAUAUUCGCAAGAACACCGGUGGCGAAGGCGGCCAACUGGUCCAUUACUGACGCUGAGAUGCGAAAGCGUGGGGAGCAAACAGGAUUAGAAACCCGGGUAGUCC